AACACUGUUAACCUGCGGUACCUGCGGAAGGAUCAUUACCGAGUUUACAACUCCCAAACCCCUGUGAACAUACCUAUAUGUUGCCUCGGCGGAUCAGCCCGCGCCCCGUAAAACGGGACGGCCCGCCGCAGGAUCCACAAACUCUGUUUUUAUUGUAACUUCUGAGUAACAAAACAAAUAAAUCAAAACUUUUAACAACGGAUCU
rnacentral:misc_RNA from 1 species